UACUCUUAUAGCUUAAACCCAAAGUAUAGCGCUGAAAACGCUAAGAUGAACCCUAAAAAGUUCUAAGGGUA
rnacentral:tRNA from 1 species